AUACUCCUCUGGGGUUGGGUGAAAUUCCCUACCGGCGGUAAAGCCCGCGAGCCUUUUGGCAGAUCUGGUGAAAUUCCAGGGCCGACAGUAAAAGUCUGGAUGAGAAGAGGAACAG
rnacentral:ncRNA from 2 species